ensembl:lncRNA
GAGGCGCUACUGCGCCUUCUUCACGAUGCUGUCUGUGUGAGUGGACCAAUUCAGUUUGUCUGUGAUGUGUAUGCCGAGGAACUUAAAACUUACUACCCUCUCCACUACUGUUCCAUCGAUGUGGAUAGGGGGGUGUUCCCUCUGCUGUUUCCUGAAGUCCACAAUCAUCUCCUUAGUUUUGUUGACAUUGAGUGUGAGGUUAUUUUCCUGACACCACACUCCGAGGGCCCUCACCUCCUCCCUGUAGGCCGUCUCGUCGUUGUUGGUAAUCAAGCCUACCACUGUUGUGUCGUCCGCAAACUUGAUGAUUGAGUUGGAGGCGUGCGUGGCCACGCAGUCGUGGGUGAACAGGGAGUACAGGAGAGGGCUCAGAACGCACCCUUGUGGGGCCCCAGUGUUGAGGAUCAGCGGGGUGGAAAUGUUGUUGCCUACCCUCACCACCUGGGGGCGGCCCGUCAGGAAGUCCAGUACCCAGUUGCAGAGGGCGGGGUCGAGACCCAGGGUCUCGAGCUUGAUGACGAGCUUGGAGGGCACUAUGGUGUUAAAUGCCGAGCUGUAGUCGAUGAACAGCAUUCUCACAUAGGUAUUCCUCUUGUCCAGAUGGGUUAGGGCAGUGUGCAGUGUGGUUGAGAUUGCAUCGUCUGUGGACCUAUUUGGGCGGAAAGCAAAUUGGAGUGGGUCUAGGGUGUCAGGUAGGGUGGAGGUGAUAUGGUCUUUGACUAGUCUCUCAAAGCACUUCUUGAUGACGGAAGUGAGUGCUACGGGCCUAUGAAUUAAAGCAAAUUGGAGUGGGUCUAGGGUGUCAGGUAGGGUGGAGGUGAUAUGGUCCUUGACUAGUCUCUCAAAGCACUUCAUGAUGACGGAAGUGAGUGCUACGGGCCUAUGAAUUAAAGCUUACAACGUAGGUGCACAGGUCGAGAUAAAAAAAGAAUUGUAAUCAAGGUGACAGACACAUUCAAUACAGCCUUCCACACUCUUGGCUGCAUCUAGCUGAUCUAGAGUGUAAUCAUUUGUCUAACAGUUGCAAACAAGAGUUUCUAUUGUAUAGAUUCAGGUAUGUUUAUCCCCACUUCGUUCCAUUUGUUUCCGUUUAAGAAAAGUUUUUCAACAGAAUCGGUGGAAUGAAUACACCCUGAUCACACGCAAACACAGUUCCAUUUCAUAGUAGCCACAUACAAACAGCAUGAUCAACUUGCUCGUUGUAUAAAUAAUUCCUCCUCGCACCUCCUCUCACCUUUUCUCUUCGCUUGUGGACUUCAACUAGAUUAAACCGCAGGGCAAUUUUCUUCUUGAGCGGAUGGUCGGGGGCCCGGAACAUAAUUAUAAAUAAAUGUGUAGACUGCAAAUUGACAGCAAGAAGCCCAACCAGAUAUGUUUGACUAAAACAUAAUAAUUUCAAAUCUUGCUUACAUUUGUGU